rnacentral:rRNA from 1 species
UACGGAGGGUGCAAGCGUUGCUCGGAAUUAUUGGGCGUAAAGGGUAGGUAGGUGGUCUCAUUUGUCUGGGGUGAAAGCCUUGAGCUUAACUCAAGAAGUGCCCCAGAAACGGUGGAGACGUGGAGUCCUGGAGAGGGUCGUGGAAUUCCCGGUGUAGCGGUGAAAUGCGUAGAGAUCGGGAGGAACACCAGAGGCGAAAGCGGCGACCUGGACAGGAACUGACACUCAACUACGAAAGCGUGGGGAGCAAACAGG